GUGCUUGCUUCGGCAGCACAUAUACUAAGAUUGGAGCAGCACAGAGAAAAUGAGCAUAGCCCCUGUGCAAGAAUGCCAUGCAAACUGGUUAAUUGUUCCACACUCUU